UACGGAGGGGGCUAGCGUUAUUCGGAAUUACUGGGCGUAAAGCGCACGUAGGCGGCUUUGUAAGUAAGAGGUGAAAGCCCGGAGCUCAACUCCGGAACUGCCUUUCAGACUGCAUCGCUUGAAUCCAGGAGAGGUGAGUGGAAUUCCGAGUGUAGAGGUGAAAUUCGUAGAUAUUCGGAAGAACACCAGUGGCGAAGGCGGCUCACUGGACUGGUAUUGACGCUGAGGUGGACGAAGGCGUGGGGAGCGAACGGG
rnacentral:rRNA from 1 species